CUACGGGUGGCAGCAGUGGGGAAUAUUGCACAAUUGGGGGAAACCUGAUGCAGCAACGCCGCGUGGGUGAAGAAGUAUUUCGGUAUGUAAAGCCCUGUCAGCAGGGAAGAAGGAGACGGUACCUGACCAAGAAGCCCCGGCUAACUACGUGCCAGCAGCCGCGGUAAUACGUAGGGGGCAAGCGUUAUCCGGAUUUACUGGGUGUAAAGGGAGCGUAGACGGCACUGCAAGUCUGGAGUGAAAGCCCGAGGCCCAACCACGGGACUGCUCUGGAAACUGCGGGGCUGGAGUGCAGGAGGGGUAAGCGGAAUUCCUAGUGUAGCGGUGAAAUGCGUAGAUAUUAGGAGGAACACCGGUGGCGAAGGCGGCUUACUGGACUGUAACUGACGUUGAGGCUCGAAGGCGUGGGGAGCAAACAGGAUUAGAUACCCGUGUAGUC
rnacentral:rRNA from 1 species